GACUGGGAAAGCUGGAUCUCUGGGAAUCGGUUGGGGUCUGAACGAUGAAGAAUUUGAGAAGUAGAAGAAUCAGCUUUUGAAAGGAAAUGUCAGUAACUUCUGGGGAAAAACAAGGAGAAGGGAGUCUCUCUCCCUUGGUGACUUUGAAGAAGCAAGCUGCCAUGUCAUGAGCUGUCCCCAGGAAAGGGCCACAGCAAAGAACUGAGGCAGACAUCCAGGAGCAGCUGAAGCCAUCAGUCAGUCAGAAAAGACCUGAAUCCUGCUGACAACCAUGUGGAUCCUUUCCCAGUCAAGUUUUCAGAUAAAAUCCUACUCCUGGCUGACACCUUGACUGCAGUCUUGCAGAGGACCCAGUUAAGCUGUGCUAGAACUCCUGAGCUACAGAAACUGAACUAUGUCAUACGCAGUUUAUGAACUGGGACGAGUAACAGACCAGCAAAAACUGCUCCACCCAAGUUACUUAUGAAGACUUUCAGCUCUGGAUCUUGGGUUGGUCAAAUGGAAGGAA